CAGCCGCCGCGGUAAUACCGGCGGCCCGAGUGGCGGUCACUAUUAUUGGGCUUAAAGCGUCCGUAGCCGGGUUGGGAAGUCCUCCGGGAAAUCUGGCCGCUUAACGGUCAGAAUGCCGGAGGAUACUCCCAGCCUAGGGAGCGGGAGAGGCCGAGGGGAUUCCCGGGGUAGGGGGGAAAUCCUAUAAUCCCGGGAGGACCACCUGUGGCGAAGGCGCUCGGCUGGAACGCGUCCGACGGUGAGGGACGAAGGCCAGGGGAGCAAACCGGAUUAGAUACCCGGGUAGUCCUGGCGGUAAACGAUGCGGACUUUGUGUCGGACAAGCUAUGAGCUUGUCCGGUGCCGGAGGGAAACCGUUAAGUCCGCCGCCUGGGGAGUACGGCCACAAGGCUGAAACUUAAAGGAAUUGGCGGG
rnacentral:rRNA from 1 species